rnacentral:rRNA from 1 species
GACGUAGGGCGCGAGCGUUGUCCGGAUUUAUUGGGCGUAAAGAGCUCGUAGGCGGCUUGUCGCGUCGUCCGUGAAAACCAGGGGCUCAACCCCUGGCUUGCGGUCGAUACGGGCAGGCUAGAGUUCGGUAGGGGAGACUGGAAUUCCUGGUGUAGCGGUGAAAUGCGCAGAUAUCAGGAGGAACACCGGUGGCGAAGGCGGGUCUCUGGGCAGUAACUGACGCUGAGGAGCGAAAGCGUGGGUAGCAAACAGG